UACGGAGGGUGCAAGCGUUAUCCGGAUUCACUGGGUUUAAAGGGUGCGUAGGUGGGCAGGUAAGUCAGUGGUGAAAUCUCCGGGCUUAACCCGGAAACUGCCGUUGAUACUAUCUGUCUUGAAUAUCCUGGAGGUGAGCGGAAUAUGUCAUGUAGCGGUGAAAUGCUUAGAUAUGAUAUAGAACACCGAUUGCGAAGGCAGCUUGCUAAACGAUUAUUGACGCUGAGGCACGAAAGCGUGGGGAUCAAACAGG
rnacentral:rRNA from 1 species